AUGAUAACUAGCUGUCCGGGCACAUGGUGUUUGGGUGGCGCAGCUAACGCAUUAAGUUAUCCGCCUGGGGAGUACGGUCGCAAGAUUAAAACUCAAAGGAAUUGACGGGGGCCUGCACAAGCGGUGGAGCAUGUGGUUUAAUUCGAAGCAACGCGCAGAACCUUACCAGCGUUUGACAUCCUACGCUACCCAGAGAGAUUUGGGGUUCCCUUCGGGGACGUAGAGACAGGUGCUGCAUGGCUGUCGUCAG
rnacentral:rRNA from 1 species